rnacentral:lncRNA from 1 species
AUGGGAAGACGAGGAGGGUCUGGGGCAGAGAGGGACACGGCAGCUCCCAGCACCGAGGGCGGAAAGGAACACCUCCCUGGCUGCAGCUGGGGGCAUUCCCACUGCGGGAUGCCAAAUCCCUUCACACACCAUCCCCGCAGGUUUUAUAGGGUCAAGGACAAGCGAGCGGUUGCCCCAGAGCUGGCUGCAGACACGCUCCCACCUCUCGCUGGGUGUUGGUGCCUCCAUCACCUCCUCCACAGGGUGCACCUACACGAGACCACCCCACUCCCCUCCACCCAGGAGCCUGGUUUGGGGCGAGGGACACAGCAGGAAAGAGGGACGGGCUGGGGAAGGCACCCCACGUCCCACCAGCUCUCCUGGCAUCGCCCCCCACCGUCUCCUCGGGGCGGCCGAGGCCGUGCCGCCUCCUGGCCGGGGGCCCGCGUCCCCUAUCGCUGCUGGCCAGGCGCUGACGCCGAGAGAAUGAGCCAUUGUUUCCCAGCCCCGCGGCCUCUUCCUGUCCCCGUAGGGCCCAGAGACAAACAAAAGCGGAGCCAGACGCUUUGGGGAGGAGGCCGGGCCUGCUCCCCUCCUCCAGAUCCCGCAGCAGCCCCGCAGGCAGGCAGGCAGGCAGACAGACGGAUGCCCGCCUUGGGGGAAUGGGCAGGGACACCCCUAUUUUUAGCCGCCUCUGCACCCCACCCCCUUCCUUCCGUGGCCAAAAAUACGCGGGCUGGAUGGACAGGCAAAAUCAUUAAGAUUAAAGAGUCGUCCAGGCCCUGCUUCCACCCACUCCCCUGUCUUGCGCCUCGUCCCUUGGACCAGGACAGGUUCCUCACACGUGGUAAUGCCUUCACCCCAGGGAUGACUUCUCUCCUCAUCCCCAUCCCUCCUUCCCUGUAUCCAUGCAUCGUGGGACAUGGAUCCUACAGGGAGGGAAAAUUAUGUCUGAACCCCCCCCCAUCGAGUUCCUCCUACACCUCUGCAGGGUUUGUGAAGAGGAACUGGAGAAUCAAGUGGUGGGAGACACCAUAUCCAUAUUUACAUCGAUAUUUGCAUCUCCUUUCCCAGCGCCCAGAAUCACGGGGGUGUUCCCAGGCCACAAGUUCCAGGGUUGCUUCUGCUUUAUGCAGCAUGCCCCCAGCCUGCUCCCAGCCGUGUCCCAAAGCAGCCUUUCCCUCCCGUCCGUGCCAGGGGAGCACAGACUUGGGGUCUGCAUCUCCCUCCGCCCUUCCAAACCCCUACACCUGCGGCACUGCAAGCAGGACAAGCACACAAGGAGAAAGCCACGGGGGAGAGGAGGAAGGAGCACAAAAACAUUCGGGAUAG